rnacentral:rRNA from 1 species
GACGUAGGAGGCGAGCGUUGUCCGGAUUCAUUGGGCGUAAAGAGCACGCAGGCGGUUUGGCAAGUCGGAUGUGAAAACCCGAAGCUCAACUUCGGGCCUGCAUCCGAAACUGCCCGACUAGAGGUAGGUAGGGGAGAUCGGAAUUCCUGGUGUAGCGGUGAAAUGCGUAGAUAUCAAGAGGAACACCUGAGGUGAAGACGGGUUGCUGGGCUGACACUGACGCUGAGGCGCGAAAGCCAGGGGAGCAAACGGG